CUUUGAAUGGGACCUUCUAAACUAAAGGAAAAUUGGCCAGAAGAGAUCUUCCUUCCUCUGCAAGAGGGAAUUCUAGAGCACAGACAUUUCACACAGCACCAAGGGGAUAACUACUCUGUGGCUUCUUCUACUACUUAUGAAGCCAGAACAAGGUGACGGUCUGUGCUUUGGACAAAACAAAGCAUUUAGCCUGAGAGCCCUGGGAAGCGAGCGAUGACAAGCCGUUCAUGCACUCUGCAGCAUCUGCCUGGUGACUUGCUCCUCCUUGCGCCUAGCAGGAAAGGUGGAGGAAAGAGAAGUUGGACUUGCAACGAUCUGUCCUUAUUUGUGGAGAAACUACGAACUGUGUUACUCAGCAAGUUAAAUACAGGCUAUUGUGGCCUCCUUUGAGCCGCAUUCAUUCAUCUGAAAGCCAAACUGAGGCUCUGACUGGAUUCAAAUAUUUUUUGGGUAAACUGGAUCAGAACAAACAACUCCUGUCAAUGUAGCUGACCUUGAAGAUUUUUAUUAACUGAUUAAGCUGCCACAUGCAAAGGACAGAAUUGAAACCACAGUCCCAGUUAAAAUUUAGCUACUUUAUUAAUUAAGUUGAGCAGGUCUGGCUUACAUCCUAAACUGCUGGCAUCCUGUAUUGCUAUAAAAAUGUCACCAUUUGUUUUAUUGGAAAAUGCAAAUAAUAUCACUGUCAUACUGAUGAAUCAUUUGGCAUGUAACAGGAUGGGGGAAAAAAGAAGGUUAAUUUUAUAAAAUUUCAUAAAUUCUGUGGUUGCCUUGGUGCAGGGUGCUGGAUCUCUGCAAUGCUUUUCAGGACACAGGAUGAAGUGGGCUCACUUUGCUAUAUAAGUUGCAAUGAAAAUAAAAUGGAAAUUCUUGGGAGCAGGGAGGGGGGAAACUUUCAUGCAGGUGGUGUU